GUAUCUUUGCCCCGCCAAGGUGCCAACCCCCAAUCGCGGGGCGCGGCUGAAAAGGGAAUCCGGUUCAAGGCCGGAGCUGUCCCCGCAACUGUACGCUUCACAUCGGGGUGGGCCCCGCACGCCACUGUUCACGGUUGGUUUUCGCUUUGAAAACCAACUCAAUUGGAUGGGAAGGCGGCCCACUCGGCGAAGCAAGCCAGGAGACCUGCCCGGGCAUUCACAGGUUC
rnacentral:ncRNA from 1 species